rnacentral:rRNA from 1 species
AGAGUUUGAUCAUGGCUCAGAGCGAACGCUGGCGGCAGGCUUAACACAUGCGAGUCGAGCGGGCGUAGCAAUACGUCAGCGGCAGACGGGUGAGUAACGCGUAGGAACAUACCUUUUGGUUCGGAACAACACAGGGAAACUUGUGCUAAUACCGGAUAAGCCCUUACGGGGAAAGAUUUAUCGCCGAAAGAUUGGCCCGCGUCUGAUUAGCUAGUUGGUAGGGUAAUGGCCUACCAAGGCGACGAUCUGUAGCGGGUCUGAGAGGAUGAUCAGCCACACUGGGACUGAGACACGGCCCAGACUCCUACGGGAGGCAGCAGUGAGGAAUAUUGGACAAUGGGCGCAAGCCUGAUCCAGCCAUGCCGCGUGAGUGAAGAAGGCCUUCGGGUUGUAAAGCUCUUUCAGAUGUGAAGAUAAUGACGGUAGCAUCAGAAGAAGCCCCGGCUAAAUUCGUG